rnacentral:rRNA from 1 species
GACGAACGCUGGCGGCGUGCCUAAUACAUGCAAGUCGAACGCUUCUUUCCUCCCGAGUGCUUGCACUCAAUUGGAAAGAGGAGUGGCGGACGGGUGAGUAACACGUGGGUAACCUACCCAUCAGAGGGGGAUAACACUUGGAAACAGGUGCUAAUACCGCAUAACAGUUUAUGCCGCAUGGCAUAAGAGUGAAAGGCGCUUUCGGGUGUCGCUGAUGGAUGGACCCGCGGUGCAUUAGCUAGUUGGUGAGGUAACGGCUCACCAAGGCCACGAUGCAUAGCCGACCUGGGAGGGUGAUCGGCCACACUGGGACUGAGACACGGCCCAGACUCCUACGGGAGGCGGCAGUAGGGAAUCUUCGGCAAUGGACGAAAGUCUGACCGAGCAACGCCGCGUGAGUGAAGAAGGUUUUCGGAUCGUAAAACUCUGUUGUUAGAGAAGAACAAGGACGUUAGUAACUGAACGUCCCCUGACGGUAUCUAACCAGAAAGCCACGGCUAACUACGUG